UGAUGUGAAUGCCCAUUUUCUUAUUAACAGUUGACCUUGAAAUUGUCAACUAGCAAGAUGAGUGGAGAGGUGCUUUAUUUCUCAUUUAACAUAAAAUUGAAUUUAUAACCAAUUGUUGUCCACAUUAUUUAUUAUUUUAGCAUAAGGCAAUUUAGGCCAUUUGAAUAGUGAACAAUGACCUAAAUGGUUUGUUCUUGGUCUGGAAUGGAUAGCUGUGAACAAUAUUAUAAAGAAAAUAUUGUGCAAAUUAACAAUAUAUAUAUAUAUAUAUAUCAAGAAAAGAAUGUUACUAUUAAAAACACCCAUCACUACCCUUCUUAUUUUAAAUUUUUUUUAAGCUUUUUUAAUAAUCAACAGAAUUAUAGAAGAGUUGUAGUGAUCUUAUUGUUACAGAUUGUGCUUCUACACAUUUACCUUACUUCACAAAAAAAGAAAAAAAAAAGAUGUUGAAAUUUUUUAUUUAGUUUUGAGUUAACUAUGUGAUCAAAACAGGAAACAUGAUGUUAAGCAAUAGUUUUGAAGCAUAAUGCUACAAACAUAAAUUCACUGUGGAAAUAGAAAAAUGCAAGUAUGAUGCGCACAAACCAGAGGGCUGUAUGCAACAAUCCCAAUUCCUAGUUCUCUGCUUAUAUCAAAAUAACAAUGGCACAGAUUAGGAAACACUGGAUUCUUGUUUAUUGCUUGCAAAACUGACUAGUUAACAUAAUAAUAGUACCUCUACACCUCACCUGCAAGUAGGAAUGAUUUCUUCCUCUGCAUCUCUUGUCCACCCACAAGGACCGCUCCAACUGCAUUGCUGUUAGAUGUAUCUAGCUUCACACCCGACUCGUAAAACUUGAGGUCGUCAUAACCCGACCUGUGAAAUCUGCAUCAUAUUACGUUGAAUUUUAGGGAAGUUUGGUCUCAGUCUCUCUUUCUCUGCAUUUCAGGUAUCCCUAUUGAACAUCGGAUUUGUUGAACAAGAUGGUGGAGGUUGCAACAACUAAACUGGUUAAACAAGAUGCUCAUUCUUUAUUCUCUUGCUUUUUAUUUACAUACAUACAUGCCUAAUUGUGUGUGUAGGGUCAGUUAUUUGGUGGAACAAAUGAUUCCCAUCUGUGUUUGAUUUACACUUUGUAGGGGAUUUUACUGUUGAGGAGGACACAAACAGGGAGAUAAUGUACCCCCUCGUUUAACAUCAUUUGAAGCUACCUGUUUUCCUUCAGAGCUUCUUUGAGAGGUGCAAUAUUUGCUCCAGGAAAGAGCUAAAUGUCGUAUGCGGUGCUACCUCUUAUAAGGGGUUUGGAGAGGGAUUGUGUACUGUAAUUUGGUCAAUGUUGCUUGCUUAAUAGAUUGUAUAAUAAGAAAUCAUUUUACAUGUUCUGUGUGAAAUGUACGAAGUGAUUCAAGUACUAUCUAUACUAUUAGCAUGUGGAUAUUUCAUGCCAAAGUACCUUUAUGGUUCGUCUUUGCAGUCCCUUGUUAAUCUAUACUAUAUAUAUAAUAGAAUGUAGUGCUGUGUUUUACAAGGCUUGAAAAUGCCAUUCUAAAAUUCUCAUAAAUCUGAAAAAUACGUGGCAAGUCUCUUUUGAGUUUAUAACUCUUUUCCUUCCCUCUCAAAGCCUUUCAUAACAAUAAAAACUUCUACUCUUCCACCUUCCCACUCUCCCACUAUCCACAACUCCUAUCCAUAAAAAACUGUCAACAAAAAAAAAAAACAAAAUCUAUCCAAACAAAUCUGUUAAAAAAAAAAAA